GAAUUUUUCAAAUGCAUGCUUAUCUCCUUUUUGUGGAUUCAAUUCAUCAAUUACUCCUCAGUUUGUUGGUUUAAUGGAAGUGUUGACUUUCUUCUAUAGAAGAUCUAUGUACUUCUCAAUCCUGGUGAAGAUGGUUUCAUGGGCACAAAAGGAUUGUCGAUCAAAUUGCUGCUAGGGAUUCUUGGUUCAUGAUGCAGAUAUAACAUAUUUGAUUACUGUUGUGUGGAUUAUGCAUUCGAAAUCAAAUAGUAAUGAAGUAACAAAAAAUAAUUUUCCUUCUGUAUAUCAUUGAUGAUAUACUUCUACUUUGUUUGUGGGUUCUACUUGCUCAUGGAGUUUUUCUUCUCUUUUCCCUUUUGUUGAAGAUAGGCCAUAGCAUCCGUGCUUCCCCUUCUUUUAUAUGUUAUCAAUGUUAUGUAUACAUGUAGCGUUGGAGAAUACUAACAUAUAGUGUUCUAUAAAAAAAGGGCAUCCAUCUAAUUCUACAUGACAACCUUCCAACGCGAGGUAACAUCAUUUGUGGCAUGUGUAUAUCUUAUAUCUACUAAAUAUCUCUUCUAGAUAUUGGCAUUACCAAGUGUAUACAUCUAUAUUGCCAAUGCAUCUGCACUUUUGAUAAAUUACUCAACAUUUUCAUGUUUUCUUUACAAUGGUAUGGUGUUAGCAAGCGUGUUGUCUUAUGAAAAUUUGAUGACUGCAUCUGCACUUCGUAUCUAAACAUGUUGUUUUAGAGCUAAUACUUUUACUAACUAUUAUGUUCUUUCAACUUCUUGUAUAAACAGACCAGGACCAGAAUUGUGAACCUCUUACCAUUAAGGGGCUUAUCUGUAUUCUAAGGAAAUAUUAGUGCACCUUGUAAUUCUUUCUUGGCAUGGCUAUGGCUAUUCUAUCGAGGUUUAAUUCUAUGGUACACAUAAUAGUUUGCUGGUAAGCGUGAAGCACAGGCAUGCAGAAAUAGGCUUACAGAAUCCUUUAGUACUGUUUUGGCUGCUGCUCCUAACAAAGCAUCAUUCCUCCAAAAUCUCUGCCAAGAGUUACAGUUUGAUACUGAACUUGCUAGCAAGAUGCAUGAAGAUACCAACUAGACACUUGUUUUUUGUAUUGCAUCAUUAGUUUUACAUAAUAGUUCUAUGUUAGCUCAAUAUACCUACUAGGGAGAUGUAUACCAUAUUAGCUACAGUUUGAAGGUUAUAAUCCUUUUAUACAUUCCUCCAGUGUAAAAGUUAUUAUUUUCUGUCCAAAUUUCUUCCAUGAAGAUGUUUUAUUUCAUGGCUUUCAGAUCCUAACACUUUGAAAUCAA